UACGAACUGUGCGAACGUUAUUCGGAAUCACUGGGCUUACAGGGUGCGUAGGCGGCUUGUUAAGUAGGGUGUGAAAGCCCCCGGCUCAACCGGGGAAUUGCGCCCUAAACUGGCGAGCUGGAGUGAGAUAGGGGUGUGUGGAACUUCCGGUGGAGCGGUGAAAUGUGUUGAUAUCGGAAGGAACGCCGGUGGCGAAAGCGACACACUGGAUCUUGUCUGACGCUGAGGCACGAAAGCCAGGGGAGCGAAUGGG
rnacentral:rRNA from 1 species